UCAGUAUAAAGCUGAAUCUUUUAUGAUAACAUAAAUUGAACAGGCUAAUUUGCGCAAGAGAGUACAAAUUGAGUGCGCGGUUUGGCACCUCGAUGUCGGCUUAGCUCAUCCUCAUGCAUGCAGAAAUCAUGAAGGGUUCGACUGUUCGUCGAUUAAAGAGCUACAUGAGCUGGGUUUAAUACGUCGUGAGACAGUAUGGUUUCUAUCUUCUAGAGGAACAUAAAGUAGAUUAAAGAUAGCCCCUUCGUACGAAAGGAGUUGGGUAUAUUGAUCUCUGGUUUACCUGUUGUUUAUGUUUUAUAUUAUAAUUUUAUUAUAAUAAUAACUAAUACUUAUACUAAGGUAUUGUUACACUGUAUAAUACGUGUGUAACUUGACCACAUAGGCAUGGCAGGAAAGCUACAUCAGUUUAAGAUAAGUGUUGAAAGCAUCUAAACGCGAAGCAAACUUUAUGAUACUUAUAAACGUAGUAGAACACUACGAGUAUAAUUGUUAUAUUUAUAACAAUUAAUAGGCUUUGGUUGUAAGAAUGAAAACAUUUUUAGAUAUAAAGUACUAAUUAUUA
rnacentral:ncRNA from 1 species